AUUGAACGCUGGCGGCAUGCCUUACACAUGCAAGUCGAACGGUAACAGGUCUUUCGGGAUGCUGACGAGUGGCGAACGGGUGAGUAAUACAUCGGAACGUGCCUAGUAGUGGGGGAUAACUACUCGAAAGAGUGGCUAAUACCGCAUGAGAUCUAUGGAUGAAAGCAGGGGACCUUCGGGCCUUGUGCUACUAGAGCGGCCGAUGGCAGAUUAGGUAGUUGGUGAGAUAAAAGCUUACCAAGCCUACGAUCUGUAGCUGGUCUGAGAGGACGAUCAGCCACACUGGGACUGAGACACGGCCCAGACUCCGACGGGAGGCAGCAGUGGGGAAUUUUGGACAAUGGGCGCAAGCCUGAUCCAGCAAUGCCGCGUGCAGGAUGAAGGCCUUCGGGUUGUAAACUGCUUUUGUACGGAACGAAAAGUCUUGGGUUAAUACCCUGGGAUCAUGACGGUACCGUAAGAAUAAGCACCGGCUAACUACGUGCCAGCAGCCGCGGUAAGAC
rnacentral:rRNA from 1 species